UACAGAGGGUGCAAGCGUUGUUCGGAAUUAUUGGGCGUAAAGCGCGUGUAGGCGGCUUUGCAAGUCGGGUGUGAAAUCCCUCAGCUUAACUGAGGAAGUGCGCCCGAAACUGCAGAGCUUGAGUACCGGAGAGGGUGGCGGAAUUCCCCAAGUAGAGGUGAAAUUCGUAGAUAUGGGGAGGAACACCGGUGGCGAAGGCGGCCACCUGGACGGUAACUGACGCUGAGACGCGAAAGCGUGGGGAGCAAACAGG
rnacentral:rRNA from 1 species